rnacentral:rRNA from 1 species
AGAGUUUGAUCCGUGGCUCAGGACGAACGCUGGCGGCGUGCCUAACACAUGCAAGUGGAGCGACGACCCGGGCUUCGGCCCGGUGCAAAGCCGCGAACGGGUGAGUAACACGUGGGUAACCUGCCCUGAUGAUUGGGACAACCCGAGGAAACUCGGGCUAAUACCGAAUGUGCCCUCCGGCCGUAAGGCCUCGUGGGGAAAGGAAGCUUCGGCCUCCGCAUCGGGAUGGGCCCGCGGCCCAUUAGCUUGUUGGUGAGGUAACGGCUCACCAAGGCUACGAUGGGUAGCUGGUCUGAGAGGACGAUCAGCCACACUGGGACUGAGACACGGCCCAGACUCCUACGGGAGGCAGCAGUGGGGAAUCUUGCGCAAUGCGCGAAAGCGUGACGCAGCAACGCCGCGUGGGGGAAGAAGGCCUUCGGGUUGUAAACCCCUUUCAGUUGGGACGAAGCUUCGGCGGUGAAUAGCCGCCUGGAGUGACGGUACCUUCAGAAGAAGCCCCGGCUAACUACGUG